rnacentral:tRNA from 1 species
UCCGAUAUGGUGUAGUGGCCAACAUGAUGCCCUCUCAUUUCCGUUGAGAGGUUAGGCAUAGCCCCGAGUUCGAUUCUCGGUUUCGGAA